rnacentral:rRNA from 1 species
AUGGUUAAGUUAGAAAGGGCGCACGGUGAAUGCCUUGGCACUAGGAGCCGAUGAAGGACGGGACUAACACCGAUAUGCUUCGGGGAGCUGUAAGUAAGCUUUGAUCCGGAGAUUUCCGAAUGGGGAAACCCACUGUUCGUAAUGGAGCAGUAUCUUUAUCUGAAUACAUAGGAUAUUGAAGGCAGACCCGGGGAACUGAAACAUCUAAGUACCCGGAGGAAGAGAAAGCAAAUGCGAUUUCCUGAGUAGCGGCGAGCGAAACGGAAUUAGCCCAAACCAAGAGGCUUGCCUCUUGGGGUUGUAGGACACUCUAUACGGAGUUACAAAGGAACGAGGUAAAUGAAGAGGUCUGGAAAGGCCCGUCAAAGAAGGUAACAACCCUGUAGUUGAAACUUCGUUCCCUCUUGAGUGGAUCCUGAGUACGGCGGAACACGUGAAAUUCCGUCGGAAGCUGGGAGGACCAUCUCCCAAGGCUAAAUACUCCCUAGUGACCGAUAGUG